rfam:Pseudomonas sp. TW4, complete genome.
UUGCGCAAGUGAUGUUUAAUCAAGCAAUCUUCGCAAUCCUCUGUCGGCGCUUGCGGCCUAUUCUUAUUACCAGAAUCACUGCUCGGACAAACAGUCCAGUGCGGCUCGCCCAAUCAGGCCCGCCGCGGUCGCCACCCCCACCGGGGAUGUGCCGGCCCCCGAGCUACACACUGUCCAGAAGACGGCGUGAGGUGAGCCGGCGCCACAAGCGUUGAGCCAGGACGAAGUUCUCCAAGGGGAGGCCGACGGGUCUCCCC